GGGUGUUAAACGAGCAACGACCUUCUAAGUCGUGGGUCACAGGUUCGAAUCCUGUAGGGCGCGCCA
rnacentral:tRNA from 1 species